rnacentral:snRNA from 1 species
GUCCUUUCAAGGACAUACAUAAAAUUGGAAACGAUAAUGAUAAGAUUAGCAUUGUCCCUAGUCCCUACACAUGGAUGAUACACAUUAAUUGAGAAAUUUAUUCUUCCGAAUUUU